rnacentral:rRNA from 1 species
GAUGAACGCUGGCGGCGUGCCUAAUACAUGCAAGUAGAACGCUGAAGGAGGAGCUUGCUCUUCUGGAUGAGUUGCGAACGGGUGAGUAACGCGUAGGUAACCUGCCUGGUAGCGGGGGAUAACUAUUGGAAACGAUAGCUAAUACCGCAUGACAACAGUUAUUGCAUGAUAACUGUUUAAAAGGGGCAACUGCUCCACUACCAGAUGGACCUGCGUUGUAUUAGCUGGUUGGUGAGGUAACGGCUCACCAAGGCGACGAUACAUAGCCGACCUGAGAGGGUGAGCGGCCACACUGGGAGUGAGACACGGCCCAGACUCCUACGGGAGGCAGCAGGAGGGAAACUUCGGCAAUGGACGGAAGUCUGACCGAGCAACGCCGCGUGAGUGAAGAAGGGUUUCGGGUCGUAAAGCUCUGUUGUAAGAGAAGAACGAGUGUGAGAGUGGAAAGUUCACACUGUGACGGUAUCUUACCAGAAAGGGACGGCUAACUACGUG